AGUGAACGCUGGCGGUAGGCCUAACACAUGCAAGUCGAACGGCAGCACAGUAAGAGCUUGCUCUUACGGGUGGCGAGUGGCGGACGGGUGAGGAAUACAUCGGAAUCUACUUUUUCGUGGGGGAUAACGUAGGGAAACUUACGCUAAUACCGCAUACGACCUUCGGGUGAAAGCAGGGGAUCUUCGGACCUUGCGCGAUUGAAUGAGCCGAUGUCGGAUUAGCUAGUUGGCGGGGUAAAGGCCCACCAAGGCGACGAUCCGUAGCUGGUCUGAGAGGAUGAUCAGCCACACUGGAACUGAGACACGGUCCAGACUCCUACGGGAGGCAGCAGUGGGGAAUAUUGGACAAUGGGCGCAAGCCUGAUCCAGCCAUACCGCGUGGGUGAAGAAGGCCUUCGGGUUGUAAAGCCCUUUUGUUGGGAAAGAAAAGCAGCAGGUUAAGACCCCGCUGUUCUGACGGUACCCAAAGAAUAAGCACCGGCUAACUUCGU
rnacentral:rRNA from 1 species